GACGAACGCUGGCGGCGUGCUUAACACAUGCAAGUCGAACGGUGAACUCACUUCGGUGGGGGAUCAGUGGCGAACGGGUGAGUAACACGUGGGCAACCUGCCCUCAGCUCUGGGAUAACUCCAAGAAAUUGGGGCUAAUACCGGAUAUUUCCGCUGACCGCAUGGUCUGGUGGUGGAAAGAUUUAUCGGCUGGGGAUGGGCCCGCGGCCUAUCAGCUUGUUGGUGGGGUAGGGCCUACCAAGGCGACGACGGGUAGCCGGCCUGAGAGGGUGACCGGCCACACUGGGACUGAGACACGGCCCAGACUCCUACGGGAGGCAGCAGUGGGGAAUAUUGCGCAAUGGGCGAAAGCCUGACGCAGCGACGCCGCGUGGGGAUGACGGCCU
rnacentral:rRNA from 1 species